rnacentral:tRNA from 1 species
AGCAGAGUGGCCUAGUGGACAGAGCAUGGGCGUGGGAGUCAGAAAGACCUGGGUUCUAAUCCUGGCUCUGCCA